rnacentral:rRNA from 1 species
CGUGAGAUGUUGGGUUAAGUCCCGCAACGAGCGCAACCCUUGCCAUUAGUUGCUACGAAGGCACUCUAAUGGGACUGCCGGUGACAAACCGGAGGAAGGUGGGGAUGACGUCAGGUCAUCAUGGCCCUUAUGGGUAGGGCUACACACGUCAUACAAUGGCCGGUACAGAGGGCUGCCAACCCGCGAGGGGGAGCCAAUCCCAGAAAACCGGUCGUAGUCCGGAUCGUAGUCUGCAACUCGACUGCG